rnacentral:lncRNA from 1 species
ACUAGAAGUCCAAGCAUAUAGAGCGGCAGUUUCACAUCAUAUGCGAAUAUCUCGAAAAGAAGUUCAUCAAGGUACAGAGAGUUGACUCCGUGCUAAAUGUGGUGGACCCGUUGAUCAAGCUUCUCAGUCAGCAGAAGACCGAAGCUCACCUUAAGAAGAUGGGACUUAGGUAUAUGGCCAAUUGGCUCUAGAUCAAAUGAGAGUUUGUUAGAUUUAUGCCCUAGAAGUCAAUUAUUGGCU